GUACACUCCUGCGGGAGGCAGCAGUGGGGAAUUUUGGACAAUGGGCGAAAGCCUGAUCCAGCAAUGCCGCGUGAGUGAAGAAGGCCUUCGGGUUGUAAAGCUCUUUUGUCAGGGAAGAAACGGUGAGAGCUAAUAUCUUUUGCUAAUGACGGUACCUGAAGAAUAAGCACCGGCUAACUACGUGCCAGCAGCCGCGGUAAUACGUAGGGUGCAAGCGUUAAUCGGAAUUACUGGGCGUAAAGCGUGCGCAGGCGGUUUUGUAAGUCUGAUGUGAAAUCCCCGGGCUCAACCUGGGAAUUGCAUUGGAGACUGCAAGGCUAGAAUCUGGCAGAGGGGGGUAGAAUUCCACGUGUAGCAGUGAAAUGCGUAGAUAUGUGGAGGAACACCGAUGGCGAAGGCAGCCCCCUGGGUCAAGAUUGACGCUCAUGCACGAAAGCGUGGGGAGCAAACAGGAUUAGAAACCCGAGUAGUCCCA
rnacentral:rRNA from 1 species